rnacentral:misc_RNA from 1 species
GAUGAAGAACGUAGCGAAAUGCGAUAAGUAAUGCGAAUUGCAGAAUUCAGUGAAUCAUCGAAUCUUUGAACGCACAUUGCGCCCAUUAGCAUUCUAGUGGGCAUGCCUGUUCGAGCGUCAUUUCAACCCUUAAGCCCUGUUGCUUAGCGUUGGGAGCCUACAGUACUGUAGCUCCCCAAAGUUAGUGGCGGAGUCGGUUUCACACUCUAGACGUAGUAAUUUUUUCUCGUCUGUAGUUGAGCCGGUCCCCUGCCGUAAAACACCCAAUUUAUCAAGGUUGACCUCGGAUCAGGUAGGAAUACCCGCUGAACUUAAGCAUAUCAAUAAGCGGAGGA